UAUUCAAACAUAUUUACAGAUUUAAUAAAAUCUCUGUUUAAAGGGAUCUAGCUGUGGUGACUGUUGUAGUGCACUAUGCUGUACAUGCUGUACUAGUAUUCAGGUUGCGAACGAGGUCCGUGCUCGUGGAGACCAGGUUUAGAACAAAGAUGAUUGCCAUAUUAAAAAAAAACUUGAUUCUGAGGAAGUGCACAUUAAGAAAAAAACAUACUAAUAGAUUAGCACUUCACAACUCUCUAUUUUUGUUCUUCUGAAUUUUUGAUAUUCAAAAGUUUGGUUUUGUUUAUUUUUUCAUAUAUUAUACUCUUGUAAUUACAAUUUUGGAUUUUGUUUGAUUUAAUGUAAUCUUUUUCCCAGUCUGUAAAUUAUUAUUAUUGAGAAGUAUUUAUGGAAGUAUUUUCUUGAAUAAAGUAUUGUUAACUCCA